rnacentral:rRNA from 1 species
AGAGUUUGAUUAUGGCUCAGGAUGAACGCUAGCUACAGGCUUAACACAUGCAAGUCGAGGGGCAGCAUUUUUAUAGCAAUAUAAAAGAUGGCGACCGGCGCACGGGUGAGUAACACGUAUCCAACCUGCCGAUAACUCAGGGAUAACCCUUCGAAAGAAGGACUAAUACCUGAUAGUACCAUCAGAUGGCAUCUGACGAUGGUUAAAGAAUUUCGGUUAUCGAUGGGGAUGCGUUCCAUUAGCUUGUUGGCGGGGUAACGGCCCACCAAGGCAUCGAUGGAUAGGGGUUCUGAGAGGAAGGUCCCCCACAUUGGAACUGAGACACGGUCCAA